UACAGAGGUCUCAAGCGUUGUUCGGAAUUACUGGGCGUAAAGGGCUCGUAGGCGGCCAACUAAGUCAGACGUGAAAUCCCUCAGCUUAACUGGGGAACUGCGUCUGAUACUGGAUGGCUUGGAUUCGGGAGAGGAAUGCGGAAUUCCAGGUGUAGCGGUGAAAUGCGUAGAUAUCUGGAGGAACACCGGUGGCGAAGGCGGCAUUCUGGACAGCAUCUGACGCUGAGACGCGAAAGCGUGGGGAGCAAACAGG
rnacentral:rRNA from 1 species